GACGAACGCUGGCGGCGUGCUUAACACAUGCAAGUCGAACGGAAAGGCCCUGCUUGCAGGGUACUCGAGUGGCGAACGGGUGAGUAACACGUGGGUGAUCUGCCCUGCACUUCGGGAUAAGCCUGGGAAACUGGGUCUAAUACCGGAUAGGAGCCCUUUUUAUUGUGAUGGUUGGAAAGUUUUUUCGGUGUAGGAUGAGCUCGCGGCCUAUCAGCUUGUUGGUGGGGUAAUGGCCUACCAAGGCGGCGACGGGUAGCCGGCCUGAGAGGGUGGACGGCCACAUUGGGACUGGGAUACGGCCCAGACUCCUACGGGAGGCAGCAGUGGGGAAUAUUGCACAAUGGGCGCAAGCCUGAUGCAGCGACGCCGCGUGGGGGAGGACGGCCUUCGGGUUGUAAACUCCUUUCGCUAGGGACGAAGCUUUUUGUGACGGUACCUAGAGAAGAAGCACCGGCUAACUACGUG
rnacentral:rRNA from 1 species